rnacentral:rRNA from 1 species
AGAGUUUGAUCAUGGCUCAGGACGAACGCUGGCGGCGUGCCUGAAUACAUGCAAGUAGAACGCUGAAGACUGGUGCUUGCACUAGUCAGAUGAGUUGCGAACGGGUGAGUAACGCGUAGGUAACCUACCUCAUAGCGGGGGAUAACUAUUGGACAACGAUAGCUAAUACCGCAUGACAAUUAAGUACUCAUGUACUAAAUUUAAAAGGAGCAAUUGCUUCACUAUGAGAUGGACCUGCGUUGUAUUAGCUAGUUGGUGAGGUAACGGCUCACCAAGGCCACGAUACAUAGCCGACCUGAGAGGGUGAUCGGCCACACUGGGACUGAGACACGGCCCAGACUCCUACGGGAGGCAGCAGUAGGGAAUCUUCGGCAAUGGGGGCAACCCUGACCGAGCAACGCCGCGUGAGUGAAGAAGGUUUUCGGAUCGUAAAGCUCUGUUGUUAGAGAAGAACGGUAAUGGGAGUGGAAAAUCCAUUACGUGACGGUAACUAACCAGAAAGGGACGGCUAACUACGUGCCAGCAGCCGCGGUAAUACGUAGGUCUCGAGCGUUGUCCGGAUUUAUUGGGCGUAAAGCGAGCGCAGGCGGUUAUUUAAGUCUGAAGUUAAAGGCCGUGGCUCAACCAUGGUUCGCUUUGGAAACUGGAUAACUUGAGUGCAGAAGGGGAGAGUGGAAUUCCAUGUGUAGCGGUGAAAUGCGUAGAUAUAUGGAGGAACACCGGUGGCGAAAGCGGCUCUCUGGUCUGUAACUGACGCUGAGGCUCGAAAGCGUGGGGAGCAAACAGGAUUAGAUACCCUGGUAGUCCACGCCGUAAACGAUGAGUGCUAGGUGUUAGGCCCUUUCCGGGGCUUAGUGCCGCAGCU